GUAGUAGGUGACAGGAGUGUCUUUGAACAGGGUACUGUAUGGUAGUAGGUGACAGGAGUGUCUUUGAACGGGGUACUGUAUGGUAGUAGGUGACAGGAGUGUCUUUGAACGGGGUACUGUAUGGUAGUAGGUGACAGGAGUGUCUUUGAACAGGGUACUGUAUGGUAGUAGGUGACAG